GCGCGGACUCCUUCCUCGCCUUGCACUAUAAGAGCAUGUUCCCCAGUACCCGUACUUCCCCUUGACCAUACCUCGGAACCAGAAAAGAAAAACCCAAACCACCAGCACUCGUGGGAGCUCGGGGGCGAGAAAUCGAGUAGCGUCGCCGCGUUAAUUUCUCGGAACGCCACCGUCCUGAUUCCAGAGGAGGUGCAAUUGGUGUUCGCGGGACAUCGGUGGACAAGCCUCUAGGCAUGACGGUCACCAUGGUCUAGCCAAUUCGUCGCUGGAGUACUCCACUCGGCGGAAUCUGCAGUCGGUCGUGGCCGGCUGAUUUGGGCACCCAAUUAACCGGUACGUCCUCGUCUAGUGUGUUCCUCGUCUCCUCCGCAAUUAUUUUCGGGAAUCGAGGAUCGAAGUGGAGGGUCGGCUCGCGAAAUCACCUCGCCGCGGCAGGUCGCCGGUGAGAGUUGGGGGCGGCGCGGUCGCAUGCUGUCGAGGGGAGGAAGAAAGGUUUGCGUCGUCGGAUGGGUUUUGGACGGUCAGGAUUAGAUCAAGGAAUACCGAUUCACUGGUGUUGGGGACUUGUUCUCAAAUGCUAUGAGUUAAGAACAAGGCAACACAAAAUGUUAAAUGUUAAUGUCCUUCGUCCUUUGAAGCAUUAUUUCCCUUAGGAUAUAAUGAUCUUCGGACGAAGGUUAUGAAAGACAUAUCUUCAUCAACGUGAUAUGUGUUAAUAAAAGAAUAAGUAUAUGAAACAUAAUAGGCCAAGUAAAUAAUCACAUAACAUUAUUAAUUCAUUGUAUUAUCCUGGAAAGACAGAAACAAUAUUGAAUUACAAGUGUACCUUCGGCUUGAUAGAAAGCAAAAAAACAAGCGUGACACAAAAGCAGGAACAAGUCAGCGUGAACAGUACGGGGGUACUGUUCAUCUAUUUAUAGGCACAUGACGCAGCCUAUGAGAAAUUACAUAUAUGCCCUUUACAUUUAUUAUUGACUUAUAUACAAAUCUAUGAGGACUAGAUAGCAUUUUCCCCUUUAAGUCGGUUCCUUUUUCCGUCAUUUAGCCGAAGCUCCCCUGCGUAGCUUCGGAGCAAUUCCAACCUUCGUCACGGUCAUGCUUUUUACAUCGUACAUGCUUUUAGCCCGAGUCCGAAGGUACCUGUUCAUAUGUCACACUUGGAAGAUAUUGUUAAAUCACGUUUUUGAGGACCUUCGAAGGACGAAGGCCCCCAACAGUAGCUCCUCGCAUUAUUAAUUUGUUUAAGAUAACGAAUUCAGACCAUGACAUGGACGAAGGCCUUAAGCCGAAGGUCUGAAAAAACACCUUCCCUUUGCUAGAAUAGCAACAGUCAAUGACGGACGGGGCCCCCAAUUUGGAGCGUGUCGAGCGUAUAAAUAAGAACUCGCACCAACCUCAUUUGGUACGCUGCUUGUGCCAUUUGCUUUAUUUUCUCAAUUUUAUAGCUCUUGCUCACUAACGCUUGCUAGUUCUCAAGCUUCCUGAGCUUCGGUUAGAAAGACACAUUUUCGCCACCUCUGAAGGAAAAAAUGUCUCAAGACAAGAAGGUUGCUGCUGAGACGAAGCUAACUAAAGAGGAGAAGCUUUUCGAGGAGAAGAAGGCUGCAAAUCCUUACAUAGCUGGGUUUAUCGAGUGAAUGGCAAAAUCAAAUACAGAGAAAAUUACUAAGGAGAUACUGGAGGGCAUAUCUGAAGAUACUGAUGACAGUGAUAAUUAUGAUGUAGAAAGUAAAGGCGAAGAUUUCGAGGAUCGACCCUGGAGACCAAGUCAUGCAAUUUUUGGAAAAUCGACCAUCAAGCAAAGUCACCUAAAAAAUAUGAGGGGAAGGUACUUUCGGGAUAUGUCUAUUGUGAGGGCUGGCGGAGACAACAACGUUCCUGCGCCUGAGGAGGACGAAGUUGUGAUUUUCCGAAGCUUCUUCAAAGCUGGGCUUCGGUUCCCACUGAGCAGGUUUGUGGUUGAAGUGCUGAAAACCUUCCAAAUUUUCCUUCAUCAAUUGACACCCGAAGCCAUAUUGAGGAUGGGAGUCUUCGUCUGGGCAGUAAGAAGCCAAGGGACAGAGCCAAGCGCAAAAUGCUUCUGCAGCAUGCACGAACUUUUGUAUGAGACGAAGGCCACGGGGAAAGAACAAUAUCACAACAACUUCGGUUGUUACGGAUUUAUUGCCCGUCUCAACGCAAGCCACCUCAUGUCGACAUUUCGGAAAAGAUGGCCGGGAAAUUGGAUGGAAGAACGGUUUUCUGUGAAGAACGACUUGAUAGCGAGGGAGGACAUCAAGGAGGUUAUUAUGCGCCCCAUAUGGUCCCGCUUCGGCCUUCGAAAGCCGUAGGUUGAAAUUGAUGAAGCCACCGAAGCAUGCCAGAAGGCAUUUGGUACUAUCUGCUUUUUUAUUGGUACGAGAGAUUUAAUUCAAGAGCACAUAGCAUUCAAAGUAUGGCCGCUUGUAGAGAGGUGGGAGAUGUCGAAGGAGACCGUCACCAAGUCUAGCGAAGGUGAAUUGGUCCGGCUGAACUAUACAUUCAGACAUGGGGAUAAAUUCGAUGAACCAAACGAUGACUGGCUAAAAUGCAUCGAAGUUACAAGUGAUGAACUGUUUGGAUCAUAUUCCAAGGCAGAAUAUAAUGCAUUAUCCACAGCCUUCGGAAGUCGAGAAAAGAAGAGAUUGAACAAGGUUUUUGACGCUAUUGGCUUCGUCCACCCCGACUACCGCUACCCGCUACGGGGGCAAGGGAAGAAGAGGAAAGCUACUGCUCUGGCCGCCUCGGCUGAACCUGUGCCGAAGGCUGUGAGCAAAAAGAUGAAGGUACUUACCCACCAGCCAUGUUAUAUUGAAUCGGCUGUGGUGCCUGAGUUUGGCGGGGAGGCCUCUUCAGCUGCUGAAUCAAGAGAAACUGCUCCUCUGCGCAAAGGACUGAAGAGCCAACUACAAUGCCGAAGCUACCCUCAGCUGAGCUAGCUGAGACGAAGAUUGAUAAGGAUAAGGCUGAAGAGUCAAAUAUUGGAGAAACAAAAGUGUUAGAAAUUUUAAGCCCUUCAUCAGAAGUAACAACACCGAAGGCACAAAAAGGUUCUGCCGCAACUCCCAAGAGGAGAAGGAUGGCAAAUGUACUAGAUGUGUUAGAAACAGUAAAGACUUUGAACUCUACUCCUUCUAGGAAAAUUGCCAAAGCAUCGAAAGUGCAAACCGAAGCUGAAACAAAGCAGGCCGAAAUUGAAGCUGCAGUAAUUCAAGCUGAUACCGAAGCUGAGCCUUUAGAGUCUUCUGAGACAGAGCCUGUCGUGAUUGAAGAAAAGGCGAGAGAACAAGUUGCGCCUGAAAGGGCUAAAGCUCCUGCCUCCGAAGCUUCAAAAGAAAGCACAGAUUACAUCAUUCGCCAUGCUUCGGGGAAGAGACUUUCUCAAGAAGAAAAACUGGAAGCACUACACUAUGCCCAAAAAUUAAAAUACCCGAAGGGGGCAUUAGUGUUUAAUGGCAGCGGGGAGGAAGAUUUUUUGUACUGUCUCCCGGAUAGUAAAGAGAUAUCCGUAUGCCGGGAGAUAGGGAGAAGCAUCGGAUUUCUGACGCUGGAAGAUGGUCUUUCAGUCUUAUCGAAGGAUGAGCUUGCUGACAGCUUAGCGUAUAACAACAUAAAGGUAUAAAUGCUGAUUUAGUAUUUUGAAAACAAAACAUUUUAUUUGUUUAUACUUAUUUCCAUCUCCCUCUUGCAGGGCUUAAUUCUUAGCAAUGCCCUUAGGUCACAAAAAAAUAUUGAAGAUGAAGGAUAUACAAUAGCUCUGAACAACCUUCGUUCAGAGGUAAUCGAACUAAGGAACAAUGGUCUGGAUAAAGACAAAAUUUUGAUUUCGUUGGUGAACAAAGUGAAAGAAGAUGAAGCCAGCUUCAAGGCUCAAGCUGAGAUCCAAAAGAAUGAGAUCGAGGACCUUCGAAAACAAUUGGCAGAGGCAAAAGAAAAAUGCGCUCUCGCAGAAGCUAACCGAGAGGCCAGCGAAUAUUGGAAAAACUAUUUAGAAAAAACAGUUGAAGAGCUUCGCGCAUCCAAGGAAAAAUGUUUUGAAAAAUCUUUGGGUUGCGUGAAGAAGAUAAAGGCUAGCUUCGCCAACGUGGGUGCCUAUUCAAACGAAGAUAAUUUCAUACGAGGCGACCCUGAGGGUGUUAUUGAGUGGAUAAGCGGAGAAGUCGAAGCUUUUGAGGAAAUUUUAAGUGAUCGCGGGGAUGUCUGGGUGUUUUCUAGUGCGAGAGGAGUUUCAGCCAUCUUGGAGAAGGCAUGUUGCAAUCAUGUUAAAACCUUGGCCCAGGCCGAAGCUGCCCUCUCCAUGGAUGACACAAAGGAUCCCUCGGCCGAAGCAAGCUUAAUGGGCGGAAAAUUUUACACUGUCAUCUGGGAAAAUGGCGGCCAAGAAAUGGCUCACGAAAUAAUGAAGAAAAGUGAAAAAGAUAUUCACGACGCUCGAGAAGCAGCGAAAAAAGCUGAAGAAGCUGCAGAACGCGAGAGACGGAUAUGUAUCGUUUAACGGCCUUUAGCUUCGUCGUUUGUUUUCAUGACUUCGAACUGAUUGAUUUUUUCUACCACAGCUGAACUAUCUCCUCCACCGGAGCCAUUCGACCCCCUGGCCGACCCAGAAACGAAGAGAGCAAUAGAAAUCAUCAACAUAGCCGAAUCUAUUGUUGACGAAGUUGUUAACAAGUUGUUGAAUGAAAUUGCGGAAAAGGUCCUGAAAGAGGACUGAUAUUGUAAAAACAUUUUUAGACUAUCAAUGUAGAUUCGCUGUAUGAAGACUGUAAUAUUCGAUGUGCAUAUUUUUGAAUUUAAUGUGUAAAUUAUUUGUAAUUCAGUUCUUUGCGAUGCAUGAAACUUUAUAUACAUACCAUUUUUGAGCCAUCGGCGAAAAAA
rnacentral:lncRNA from 1 species